AGGAAGCCGGCAGCGUAGCCUAUUUGACAGUCCGCCAGAGCCGUAGAUCGGCCCCUUUCUCUCCGCAGAAUUACAGGUUCUUAAAAGGGUCAGGCGGUCAUACACCAGCAGCGGUGACACAUUUCGAGUGACAAGUCUAGUAGGAACGGGGGAAAUCAACCACAAGCUCAGCAAAGAGCUUGCGGAGGACAUUACUUCUCAAAACAUAUGAGACCAUCAAAUCUACUCCAGAGAGCAUUGCAGCUACCCCCACAAAGCUCUGUCUCAUUCAGAUACAUAUUAGGGAACAGCAGAGAGCAGUGUGCACGAGGACCUGAAAAUGCCCUGAGGAUCUAUGGUUGCCACGAACCAGAUGCAGUGGAGCGAGAGAGAGACCCAGUGCUUAAAUCUCUGCAAUCUGGCCAGAGCAUGCAGCUUUGUACUCGGGGUGACAUGCGUGCUGAAUCUCCAGUAUCCAUGCAAAGUUUGAGAACUCAAGAGGUAUUCCAAAGACUGUGUACUUGAUGCACUGCGCCCAAAACAAACUUCCAAGUUCAUAAGCCUCAAAAACAUGCUUCUUGCAGUGAAAUAUGAUUGUUGGGCUGACUCACUGAAAUAUCUUACUGGGACACUUGAUGGAAUUGAGCCAUCAUUAAGGUUAUCAAUUUCAGCUGUGUUUUUCCUACUAUGACAGGUCAAAAUGUCUGCUGUAAAAAAAGGUCCAUUAACCCAAAUAAACCCAGAAUUGAUAAGUGUGUGAGAGAUGUUUGCACAAGGGAGGUGGUGAUGACUCUCACCUGUGUCAGUAGGAUCACGCUGGGAUAAAAGUGCGUGUUGAACAGCCGGACAAUCCGUGGGGACGGAUUUUAAACUGUGGGUACAGAUUGUCAAUUUAAAAAUUUGCACAUACAAAUAAAUAUCUUCCUGAAUUCACAAAUUCUUAAUUAUUGCAGGGACUGCAGAAGAUCCCAUUUUUAAAUAACUAUAACCCAGAAACAGGAGAAAUGAUUGAUAAUCUUAGUGUGCAGCAAUAAAGUUUUUCCUGCUCUGAUAAACAAAUGAGUGAAAAAACAGAUUGCCCUGCUCUGCCUCUGAUUGGCUAGUACUCAUUGCCAUGUGGGUCAGAGCCAAUUAGAAGCAGUAAAACACUCUGCUGUCUCCUGUGUGUAUGGGGAAAGGGGAGGGACAGAGGCAAUGGGCAAGACAAACUCGUACAUUUAAAUAACAUAUAGAAAAUAUCAGCUUGACAACUUAUUAUGGAGCUGGGAACAAGCCCAAAUAAGCAACUACACUUUAGAAACAAGCCCAAAACAAAACGCGACCCACGACUACCAAUAUUUGUAAGCUACUUUACAGAAAAACAAGCCCAAAGUCGCUUAUCAUAAGCGGACUUGGCAACACUGGAUGCAAUAACAUGUUUAGCCAUUACCAAUCACCCCCUCUAUUGAAGGCUUUAACCUAAAACUAUCUUCAGCUCUAAAAAGAAAAAACACUCUCCUCUUUAAAUUUACAAUCAUCAUUGUCACUUUAUUAUGUCAAAUGGGAAAAUUCAUCUGCAGUCAGGAGUGCAAGAUUAAAAAAAAAACACAUACAAAUGUACAAAUUACAAGACAAACACAAAAGUAUUGUACAGUAUUUGUUGUUUGUACAUGCUGUCUGUGUUUAUUCGUUUUUACUAUGGCUGCAGCAUGGUUUGAGUGCCCAACACAAAUUCCUUCACGUUGUGGGACAAUAAAGUUAAUCUUGAAUCUUGAAAAUAACGUUAUCUGUACGUAAUAUUUAUUGUACAUCACAAUUUUACACCACAGGAGCAAUAUUUACAAAACUUUGACUUCACA